AGAACGAACGCUGGCGGCAGGCUUAACACAUGCAAGUCGAACGCCCUCGCAAGGGGGAGUGGCAGACGGGUGAGUAACACGUGGGAACAUACCCUUCGGUUCGGAACAACGCCGGGAAACUGGCGCUAAUACCGGAUACGGCUUUUGAGCGAAAGAUUUAUCGCCGAAGGAUUGGCCCGCGUUCGAUUAGCUUGUGGUGAGGUAACGGCUCACCAAGGCGACGAUCGAUAGCUGGU
rnacentral:rRNA from 1 species